GUGCAGUUAAUGAGAAACCCUGGUGCUGGGCAGAGUGCUGGGAACAUUGCUGCUGCCAGCAGGACGGCAAGAACCAGAAAGACCUGUGAGGAGCCAAGCCCAGGGCCACAGGGUUUGGGCAGACAUCAGGACCAUGGCCAAGCUGGUGGAGUGCGUCCCCAACUUCUCGGAGGGAUGCAACAAGGAGGUGAUCGAGGCGCUGGGGCGGGCCAUCUCCCGGACACCAGGCUGCACACUGUUGGAUGUGGAUGCUGGUGCCUCCACCAACCGUACUGUUUACACCUUUGUGGGAACCCCUGAGGCUGUUGUUGAAGGGGCACUGAGCGCAGCCCGAGUGGCUUGGGAGCUCAUUGACAUGAGUCAGCACAAGGGUGAACAUCCUCGCAUUGGGGCCCUGGACGUCUGCCCCUUUGUGCCAGUGAUGAACACCAGCAUGGAAGAGUGUGUUGUUUGUGCCCACGUCUUUGGGCAGCGCUUAUCAGAGGAGCUGGGAGUGCCUGUUUACCUGUACGGAGAGGCAGCCAGGCAGGAGAGCAGGAGAACCCUGCCUGCCAUCCGUGCUGGGGAAUACGAGGCGCUCCCCAAGAAGCUUGAAAAACCUGAGUGGGCUCCUGAUUUUGGGCCCCCAACCUUUGUUCCCCAGUGGGGGGCCACAGUGACGGGGGCCCGGACCUUCCUGAUUGCAUACAAUAUCAACCUGCUGUGCACCAAGGAGCUGGCACACCGCAUCGCCCUUAACAUCCGUGAGCAGGGUCGUGGUGCCGACCAGCCUGGAAGCUUGAAGAAGGUGCAAGGCAUUGGUUGGUAUUUGGAGGAGGAGAACAUAGCCCAGGUUUCAACAAAUCUCCUAGACUUUGAGACCACACCGCUCCAUGCUGUCUAUGAGGAGGUCUGCUAUAACGCAGAGGCUCUGAAGCUCCCUGUGGUGGGAUCCCAGCUGGUGGGGCUCAUUCCCAAGAAAGCCAUGCUGGAUGCAGCCGAGUUUUACAUCAAGAAGGAAAAACUCUUCAUAUUGGAAGAGGAACACAAGAUCAAACUGGUUGUCAGCCGGCUCGGCCUGGACUCCCUGUCUCCAUUCAACCCCCGGGAGCGCAUCAUCGAGUACCUGGUGCAGGCAGGACAGGAGGACAAGGGGCUGGUUGCAAAGCCACUGGGUGCCUUUGUGCGAGCAGUCGGCGGGAGGUCGGCAGCGCCAGGAGGAGGAUCAGUGGCUGCAACUGCGGCCUCUCUGGGAGCGGCCCUGGGCUGCAUGGUGGGGUUGAUGAGCUAUGGGAAGCGGCAGUUCGAGCAGCUGGAUCCCAUCAUGAGGAACGUGAUCCCUCCCCUCCACCAGGCCAUGGAUGAGCUGGUUGCCAUGGUGGAUGCCGACUCCCGUGCCUUCAGCAGCUAUAUGGAAGCUAUGAAGCUGCCAAAAAGCACCCCUGAGGAGAGGGAAAGGCGAGCGGCCGCCAUGCAGCAGGGGCUGAAAACAGCAGUGGAAGUGCCCUGCACCCUGGCAGUGAAAGUGAACAACCUCUGGUCCUCACUGAAGAUGCUGGCGCACCAUGGCAACCUGGCCUGCAAAUCUGACCUUCAGGUGGGAGCCAAAAUGCUGGAAGCAGCUGUGUUUGGAGCCUAUUUUAAUGUCAUGAUCAAUCUCAAAGACAUAACAGAUGAGAAAUUCAAGACUGAGACAUCGCAGAUGGUCACCGGGCUGCUGGAGGAGGCAAAGCAAGGCUCAGCACUUGUGUUGGCACUGCUGGAGAAACGAGAAGCUUGAGAGGAUCUCAGAGCUGGGCCAGGGAAUACAGCGGGGAUACACAAAUACAGAUGGGAAACAUGCUUGCUCCUGUCUGGGCUUCUUUGGCACCCAUCUCAGGGAUGCUGCUUCUCUUGGGAGGUCCCAAGGUUAUGUUCCUGUUCUAGCUUUUCCUUGGCCAAGAAUGAUUUUCAUUGCCUGGAGCAAUGGACCUUGCAUCUGUCCUCCCAUCCAUGGGGCAGAGGGAGCAGGCUGGGCUGGCAGUGCCACGGGAAUCCUGUGGGUGGCAAUGGUUGGGACCCCAUCGUGCUGCCUGGGUGGAGAUGGCUGGGCACCUAAUAGCCCUCACCAUCCAAUUUGUCUCUGACCAGAAAACACCUUGAGACACUCUGUGAGACUGCAGCAAGGCCGGGCACUGGGGCCAAUUACCUUUCAGUGCAGCGUCUUCUUGGCAGCAUGCAAAUGGGCCCACUGAAUCACUCAGUGCUAAGGGAGGGCGUGCUGCCAAGCACCAGGCAGCCAGCAGGAGGAAGGAGGGUGCUACUGGGAGAGGCCCCUGAGAGGAAGAUCCAAGCAUGGGAGGCCCAGUCUCUGUCAGUCCCGUGGUCGAGGCCACCGCUGGGUGUGAAGGCAGACAUCACCUCCUCUGCGGGGCAGACCGAGCUCAACCUGCUCAGGGGGCGGAUGCUGGGGAGAGCCCACCAUCCCUGGCUCCGUUCCUCAGCAGUGACACAGGCGGCCGUCAGCAGUGCCCUGAGCCCCCUGCCCUGCAGCGGGCCCAGGAGGACGUGACCCCCAUGCCUCCCCCGCACACAGCACCCACGCUGGGUGCAGCGCACCAGGGUUCAGGGCAGGGACGUCUGACUCACAGCAUCACCUGACACCACGUGAUUGAUCGGCCCUGCAGGACCUUUGUGCUGGGUGGGAGAGCAACGCUGACGUUUCACCCGUGCCCAUGGUGACCGCCACAGCACCGGGAGUGGUGCUGCCAGUGUCAUUGCUCCGCAGUGUCACCCCUGCCCACCGCACCUUCCUCGCCCAGGCAGGGCUCUGUAUUUAACGGGUGCCCGAGGGCUGGGCCCGCUGCUUUGGGAGAGCCACGCCAAGGACGGCCAUCAGGACUGCGCUGCUCUCGGAAGGAACUGAUCUGCGGGGUAGCUUGGAGUCAGUAGAAGAUGUGGAACGCUAGCCAAGGCACACCACCACCACCGCAGAUGCAAGUCUGCCCAUCUGCCCCUCCGAAUAGCCAGUACCCUGGGCCCAGCAACCCUUGCUACCCAGGAGUGCCACCUGUCAUCCCUGGGAACUGUCCCCCAGGGCCCCCUCCACCUGGCCCUCCCCCACCAGGCCACCACCACCACCAUGGGCACCACCCACCGGGCCACCACCACCAUGGCCACCACCACCAUGGGCAUCCCCCACAUGGGCCACCAGGAUGCCCACCUGGGUGCCCACCAGGCCCCCAUGACUGCUGUCACAAGCACAAGAAGAAGCACAAGAAGAAGCACAAGUGUUCCCACAAGCACCAUGGAGGCAAGCACUCAAGCAGCUCAAGCAGCUCUGAUUCUGACUGAAGAAAACAUCUCCUACCUGUGUGGUGGUGAAGCCCUGAGGAGACAAUACAUGAAGACAAAUGCCUCGCAAGAGCCAUCUACUGGUUGUGCUGCCCCAUUCUCCCUUCUCUGCAACCUGCAUUUUGCCUGUUGGUGAUUUUCUCGCUUUUUGUUUGUAAAUUCUUUGCCCUGGAAUUGUUGUAAAUAAAGGAGUAACAGCU